UUCCGAAGCAGCCUGUGUUCGAUUCACAGUGGGGGCAGCUCCUAUGGUCUAGUGGUUAUGACGCUUCGUUGUGGCU
rnacentral:tRNA from 1 species